rnacentral:misc_RNA from 1 species
AACUGAUACUACCUGCGGGAACCUGCGGAGGGAUCAUUACCGAGUUAUACAACUCCCAAACCCACUGUGAACCUUACCUCAGUUGCCUCGGCGGGAACGCCCCGGCCGCCUGCCCCCGCGCCGGCGCCGGACCCAGGCGCCCGCCGCAGGGACCCCAAACUCUCUUGCAUUACGCCCAGCGGGCGGAAUUUCUUCUCUGAGUUGCACAAGCAAAAACAAAUGAAUCAAAACUUUUAACAA